rnacentral:rRNA from 2 species
CACCCGAGACUCAGUGAAAUUGAACUCGCUGUGAAGAUGCAGUGUACCCGCGGCAAGACGGAAAGACCCCGUGAACCUUUACUAUAGCUUGACACUGAACAUUGAGCCUUGAUGUGUAGGAUAGGUGGGAGGCUUUGAAGUGUGGACGCCAGUCUGCAUGGAGCCGACCUUGAAAUACCACCCUUUAAUGUUUGAUGUUCUAACGUGGACCCGUUACCCGGGUUGCGGACAGUGUCUGGUGGGUAGUUUGACUGGGGCGGUCUCCUCCUAAAGAGUAACGGAGGAGCACGAAGGUUGGCUAAUCCUGGUCGGACAUCAGGAGGUUAGUGCAAUGGCAUAAGCCAGCUUGACUGCGAGCGUGACGGCGCGAGCAGGUGCGAAAGCAGGUCAUAGUGAUCCGGUGGUUCUGAAUGGAAGGGCCAUCGCUCAACGGAUAAAAGGUACUCCGGGGAUAACAGGCUGAUACCGCCCAAGAGUUCAUAUCGACGGCGGUGUUUGGCACCUCGAUGUCGGCUCAUCACAUCCUGGGGCUGAAGUAGGUCCCAAGGGUAUGGCUGUUCGCCAUUUAAAGUGGUACGCGAGCUGGGUUUAGAACGUCGUGAGACAGUUCGGUCCCUAUCUGCCGUGGGCGCUGGAGAACUGAGGGGGGCUGCUCCUAGUACGAGAGGACCGGAGUGGACGCAUCACUGGUGUUCGGGUUGUCAUGCCAAUGGCACUGCCCGGUAGCUAAAUGCGGAAGAGAUAAGUGCUGAAAGCAUCUAAGCACGAAACUUGCCCCGA